rnacentral:rRNA from 1 species
UACGUAGGGUGCAAGCGUUGUCCGGAAUUAUUGAGCGUAAAGGGCUCGUAGGCGGUCCAUCACGUCGGGAGUGAAAAGCUGGGGCUUAACCCCAGUCCUGCUUCCGAUACGGGUGGACUAGAGGUAGGCAGGGGAGAACGGAAUCUGGUGUAGCGGUGAAAUGCGCAGAUAUCAGGAGGAACACCGGUGGCGAAGGCGGGUCUCUGGGCCGAUACUGACGUGAGGAGCGAAAGCGUGGGGAGCGAACAGG